rnacentral:rRNA from 1 species
AUGCAAGUCGAACGAGAGAUGAGGAGCUUGCUCUUCAAAUCGAGUGGCGAACGGGUGAGUAACGCGUGAGGAACCUGCCUCAAAGAGGGGGACAACAGUUGGAAACGACUGCUAAUACCGCAUAAGCCCACGGCUCGGCAUCGAGCAGAGGGAAAAGGAGCAAUCCGCUUUGAGAUGGCCUCGCGUCCGAUUAGCUAGUUGGUGAGGUAAUGGCCCACCAAGGCGACGAUCGGUAGCCGGACUGAGAGGUUGAACGGCCACAUUGGGACUGAGACACGGCCCAGGCUCCUACGGGAGGCAGCAGUGGGGAAUAUUGCACAAUGGGGGAAACCCUGAUGCAGCGACGCCGCGUGGAGGAAGAAGGUCUUCGGAUUGUAAACUCCUGUUGUUGAGGAAGAUAAUGACGGUACUCAACAAGGAAGUGACGGCUAACUACGUGCCAGCAGCCGCGGUAAAACGUAGGUCACAAGCGUUGUCCGGAAUUACUGGGUGUAAAGGGAGCGCAGGCGGGAGAACAAGUUGGAAGUGAAAUCCAUGGGCUCAACCCAUGAACUGCUUUCAAAACUGUUUUUCUUGAGUAGUGCAGAGGUAGGCGGAAUUCCCGGUGUAGCGGUGGAAUGCGUAGAUAUCGGGAGGAACACCAGUGGCGAAGGCGGCCUACUGGGCACCAACUGACGCUGAGGCUCGAAAGUGUGGGUAGCAAACAGGAUUAGAUACCCUGGUAGUCCACACCGUAAACGAUGAUUACUAGGUGUUGGAGGAUUGACCCCUUCAGUGCCGCAGUUAACACAAUAAGUAAUCCACCUGGGGAGUACGACCGCAAGGUUGAAACUCAAAGGAAUUGACGGGGGCCCGCACAAGCAGUGGAGUAUGUGGUUUAAUUCGACGCA